UACGGAGGGUGCAAGCGUUAAUCGGAAUUACUGGGCGUAAAGCGCGCGUAGGCGGCUUGUUAAGUCAGCUGUGAAAGCCCCGGGCUCAACCUGGGAAUUGCAGUUGAUACUGGCAAGCUAGAGUACAGUAGAGGGUGGUAGAAUUUCUUGUGUAGCGGUGAAAUGCGUAGAUAUAAGAAGGAUACCAGUGGCGAAGGCGG
rnacentral:rRNA from 1 species